CCUUCUUUGACUCCUUAAUUUGGUAUUCAUAAGAAACUUCUUAUUAGUGACUUUAGCUUUCUGCAACAUUCUUAAUGUGAAUAUCAACAACUCAUUAGUAUCAAAAUACAUAUUCAAAUAUUUUAUAUUUAUCAAAAUCAAUCCUUGAGUCAACAAUGUCCUCCUUUUUCAUGAUGACAAAACUUUGAGCAUAAGCAAAUAAUGCCACU
rnacentral:lncRNA from 1 species